rnacentral:rRNA from 1 species
GUGGGGAAUCUUGCGCAAUGGGCGAAAGCCUGACGCAGCCAUGCCGCGUGAAUGAUGAAGGUCUUAGGAUUGUAAAAUUCUUUCACCGGGGACGAUAAUGACGGUACCCGGAGAAGAAGCUCCGGCUAACUUCGUGCCAGAAGCCGCGGUAAUACGAAGGGGGCUAGCGUUGCUCGGAAUUACUGGGCGUAAAGGGCGCGUAGGCGGACAGUUUAGUCAGAGGUGAAAGCCCAGGGGUCAACCUUGGAAUUGGCUUUGAGACUGGCUGUAUGGAGUACGGGAGAGGUGAGUGGAACUCCGAGUGUAGAGGUGAAAUUCGUAGAUAUUCGGAAGAACACCAGUGGCGAAGGCGACUCACUGGCUCGAUACUGACGCUGAGGUGCGAAAGCGUGGGGAGCAAACAGGAUUAGAAACCCCGGUAGUCC